rnacentral:rRNA from 1 species
AGUCGAGCGAACGGACGAGAAGCUUGCUUCUCUGAUGUUAGCGGCGGACGGGUGAGUAACACGUGGAUAACCUACCUAUAAGACUGGGAUAACUUCGGGAAACCGGAGCUAAUACCGGAUAAUAUUUUGAACCGCAUGGUUCAAAAGUGAAAGACGGUCUUGCUGUCACUUAUAGAUGGAUCCGCGCUGCAUUAGCUAGUUGGUAAGGUAACGGCUUACCAAGGCAACGAUGCAUAGCCGACCUGAGAGGGUGAUCGGCCACACUGGAACUGAGACACGGUCCAGACUCCUACGGGAGGCAGCAGUAGGGAAUCUUCCGCAAUGGGCGAAAGCCUGACGGAGCAACGCCGCGUGAGUGAUGAAGGUCUUCGGAUCGUAAAACUCUGUUAUUAGGGAAGAACAUAUGUGUAAGUAACUGUGCACAUCUUGACGGUACCUAAUCAGAAAGCCACGGCUAACUACGUGCCAGCAGCCGCGGUAAUACGUAGGUGGCAAGCGUUAUCCGGAAUUAUUGGGCGUAAAGCGCGCGUAGGCGGUUUUUUAAGUCUGAUGUGAAAGCCCACGGCUCAACCGUGGAGGGUCAUUGGAAACUGGAAAACUUGAGUGCAGAAGAGGAAAGUGGAAUUCCAUGUGUAGCGGUGAAAUGCGCAGAGAUAUGGAGGAACACCAGUGGCGAAAGGCGACUUUCUGGUCUGUAACUGACGCUGAUGUGCGAAAGCGUGGGGAUCAAACAGGAUUAGAUACCCUGGUAGUCCACGCCGUAAACGAUGAGUGCUAAGUGUUAGGGGGUUUCCGCCCCUUAGUGCUGCAGCUAACGCAUAAGCACUC